rnacentral:rRNA from 1 species
CACGUAGGCACCAAGCGUUGUCCGGAUUUAUUGGGCGUAAAGAGCUCGUAGGCGGUUCAGUAAGUCAGGUGUGAAAUCUUUGGGCUUAACCCAAAGCGUGCACUUGAUACUGCUGUGACUUGAGUUCGGUAGGGGAGUGGGGAAUUCCUAGUGUAGCGGUGAAAUGCGCAGAUAUUAGGAGGAACACCGGUGGCGAAGGCGCCGCUCUGGGCCGAAACUGACGCUGAGGAGCGAAAGCGUGGGUAGCAAACAGG